rnacentral:rRNA from 1 species
AUGGCUCAGGAUGAACGCUGGCGGCGUGCUUAACACAUGCAAGUCGAACGGAGUUUUAAACGGAAGUCCUCGGAUGGAAGUUAGAAACUAGUGGCGGACGGGUGAGUAACGCGUGGGUAACCUGCCUCAUACAGGGGGAUAACAGUCGGAAACGAUUGCUAAAACCGCAUAACAUAGCGAAACCGCAUGAUUUUGCUAUCAAAUAUUUAUAGGUAUGAGAUGGGCCCGCGUCUGAUUAGCUAGUUGGUGGGGUAAUGGCCUACCAAGGCGACGAUCAGUAGCCGGCUUGAGAGAGUGACCGGCCACAUUGGGACUGAGACACGGCCCAAACUCCUACGGGAGGCAGCAGUGGGGAAUAUUGGACAAUGGGGGAAACCCUGAUCCAGCGAACCGCCGCGUGAGUGAAGAAGUAUUUCGGUAUGUAAAGCUCUAUCAGCAGGGAAGAUAAUGACAGUACCUGACUAAGAAGCCCCGGCUAACUACGUGCCAGCAGCGGC